rnacentral:rRNA from 1 species
AAUGAACGUUGGCGGCAUGGAUUAGGCAUGCAAGUCGAGCGAGAAGUGUAGCAAUACACGGAAAGCGGCGGAAGGGAGAGUAAUACGUGGGAAUCUGCCCUUAGACCUGGGAUAGCAGCGGGAAACUGCUGGUAAUACCAGAUAAUGUCUAUGGACCAAAGGUGUGAUUCCGUCUAGGGAUGAGCCCACGUCCUAUUAGCUAGUUGGUGGGGUAAUGGCCUACCAAGGCGAUGAUGGGUAGCGGGGGUGAGAGCAUGACCCGCCUCACUGGGAAUGUGACACUGCCCAGACACCUACGGGUGGCUGCAGUCGAGGAUCUUCGGCAAUGGGCGCAAGCCUGACCGAGCGAUGCCGCGUGCGGGAUGAAGGCCUUCGGGUUGUAAACCGCUGUCGAGGGGGAGCAACUUCCAUAGAGUUAUCUUUAUGGAUUGAGUGAUCCCUGGAGGAAGGACGGGCUAAGUUCGUGCCAGCCGCCGCAGUAACAC